UGUACAUAAAUAUUAAAUUAUAAUAUAAUAUAAAUAAUAUCAUUUAUUGUAAACAGAGAAUAAUAAUAUUUAACAUAAAUGUGUGUAGUCCAUUGAUUAAUUGAAAGUAAAAUUGUAAAUGUGGGUGCAGACUAUCGGGGUUAAGACACUAUGGAUUUUAUCCUAUAUGGAACAAUUCUAGUCCUCCUGAAAUUCAAUCAAAU